rnacentral:rRNA from 1 species
AGAACGAACGCUGGCGGCAUGCCUAACACAUGCAAGUCGAACGGGCCCUUCGGGGCUAGUGGCGCACGGGUGCGUAACGCGUGGGAAUCUGCCCUUAGGUUCGGAAUAACUCAGGGAAACUUGAGCUAAUACCGUAUAAUGACUUCGGUCCAAAGAUUUAUCGCCUAGGGAUGAGCCCGCGUAGGAUUAGCUUGUUGGUGAGGUAAAGGCUCACCAAGGCGACGAUCCUUAGCUGGUCUGAGAGGAUGAUCAGCCACACUGGGACUGAGACACGGCCCAGACUCCUACGGGAGCAGCGAGUGGGGAAUA